CGAGGCAUAGCUCAAUCCGAAAAGCAUCUCCCUUACGCAGAGAAGACACCUGUACGAAGCAGGUUGCCCCGA
rnacentral:tRNA from 1 species